UACGGGGGGGGCAAGCGUUGUUCGGAAUUACUGGGCGUAAAGGGCUCGUAGGCGGCCAACUAAGUCAGACGUGAAAUCCCUCGGCUUAACCGGGGAACUGCGUCUGAUACUGGAUGGCUUGAGUUUGGGAGAGGGAUGCGGAAUUCCAGGUGUAGCGGUGAAAUGCGCAGAUAUCAGGAGGAACACCGGUGGCGAAGGCGGUUCUCUGGGCCUGUACUGACGCUGAGGAGCGAAAGCGUGGGGAGCGAACAGG
rnacentral:rRNA from 1 species